rnacentral:ncRNA from 1 species
ACCGGUGUGGUUCUGUAGUAAGACGUUUGUUUCCAUAGUUUCCUCGCUCACUCGAUGGAGAAGGGAUCGGGCCGUCGCCGAGCGGUGGUUCAUUAUCUGGUGCGAAGCGCGCGGUGCAUGUCGAGCGCCUUUGCGGGCACCGACGCAGCCGAUGUGCGACCCUUAGUCGAGAACAGUGUCGGUCGGGGAGUUUGAUUGGGGCGGUACGUCUGUCAAACGGUAACGCAGGUGUCCCAAGGCGAGCUCAGCGUGGACGGAAACCACACGUCGAGCAAAAGGUCAAAAGGGCAAAAGCUCGCUCGAUCUCGAUUUUCAGUACGAAUACGGACCGCGAAAGCGUGGCCCAUCGAUGCUUUCCGAACAGCGGCGAGCUAUGCGUCCGCCGAGAGGUGUCAGAAAAGUUACCACAGGUAUAAUUGGCUUGUGGCGGCCAAGCGUUCGCAGCGACGUUGCUUUUUGAUCCUUCGAUGUCGGCUCUUCCUAUCAUUGCGAAGCAGAAUUCGCAAAGCGUUGGAUUGUUCACCCACUAACAGGGAACGUGAUCUGGGUUCUGUCUCAUUGCGUGGCACAUUGGGCAAGU